UAGAAAAGUUCACACCUUUCGUCAUGGUCAAGGAAUUCGAGGGAACUUCCUGAAAGGAGCGUUGGCUCACCAAAACGAUCCUGGCCCGAUACAAUCUAUGGCUGGUUUUCCUCUGCUUCAAUUCUUAUUUACGUUACUUGAUCUUGGCAUGAUGCAACUUCUACCAUGAAUCCUCUACCGCAACUGUUGUUGCAUUUUGGUGUCGACCACCGUGACCAUAAGGAAUUAAUUUCUGCUGGGACUGAAGUCGAAGGGCCAAUUUCCUCGCAAAACUAAAAAAUAUUUAAUCUCUUGAAGUUAACUUUGAAAGAAAUAAUAUAUUGAAUUUAAUAAUCUUAUUUAACGCUUGAAACAGAAUAAUAUUACCGGUUGUCUCUGAUGGCAAUUUGGGUCACAUUGAGAUGUGUGUAUUCCUUUGAUUGUGCUCGCUGUACAUUGAGCAAUGCCGCAAACCCCGCGUGGGGAACACAGGCUUUCGGGUAGAGGAUUCAAAAAACAUGUUGGAAAUCCUAAAAGUUAUCUUUAUAAUAAUUGUUUAAAUUUUCUAUUCAUAGUAUAUAUACGUUGCACGUAUGUUUCUUUCUUUUUUUUUUUUUAUAUAAAUACUUGUCUUAUUUUUAUCAAUAAAAAAAAAAAAUAUGUUACAAAACCUUUUGUCUUGUACAAUCCUUGACCUGCUAUCGGAAUGGAACAGUCGCAAGAUGAAGCAUUGUCGACGAGUGAAGUUAUAUCGCAUAAUCGUCUGUGAACUCUGGCACUUGUGUUUGAAUAUGGAGUAGCUUCGUUAAAUGUGCAGUCUGUUUUCCUCAGUUUUGUCAAUUCAGGUGAGCACAACUCCCAAGUGUGAAGGGUCAAACAAGGACAGUUCCCAAGAAAAAAUUCACCAACUUCAGAGCUAUCCAGAACUUUUGAUUCGGAAGCACAAAAUCCUUCUCCGAUUUCUACAAAAGCGCAUUGCUGUAGAUGCAAUUGCCGUACCCAAUGUGUUAUAUC